rnacentral:lncRNA from 1 species
CGGGCUCGACUCCUCUUUGUCGAGAGUUCGAGGGCCAAUAGUCUUCACAAGAACAUGUGGCUUUCAAGCGAAGCUCUGCACAGCCGCAACCUCACGGGCUGCGGCGAUGACUCCGACACACGGAAGCACUCGGUUGACGAAGGAAGAAAAAGGUUCUUCACCAUUUUUGACAGCUUUAUAGAGUUCAGUAAGCUGGCACAGAAGGUCACUCGAGGAUGCACGUGCGUAUAUUGGGGCAGCUGAGGCACAUGGCGUCGUACCUGCAGUGAACUAUAAUCUCUCUCGUUAAAAUUUUGCAGAGGAAAGCAAGCAUGCACGAGCCACGAGAGAACGAGAACGCCUAUAUGCUUGAGAAUUGACAGGGCAAUUAUAUGCCAAAUUAGCCAGAAGUCUCGAGCAUGGGGACCUUGGGAUUGUUCAGCAGCACCCAUAAGAAUGUUCUUAUGUAAAGGAUUUUCAGACUUACUGACGUGCUUUGUAGCAAGAAGCACUUCCUUGGUGUGCUCAGGCACAUGGCAGCUAGUCCUUGACAAUUUGGUAGCCUGUCCUCUUGCUCAGCAGACUGUGUGUGCUGCCAACCCGCAGGUUCUGCGAGUAGAUGAGAAGAGCUGCCGUAGCGGCGGCGGUGCGGCAUGAGAAUGUUGCUGCCGCCGUCGCUGCACCGCCGGUGCCGAUGCCGCCGGUGGCGCCGCCCCCCGGGGUGGCAGAGGCCGCGCAGGCCGCUGUGCAGGUGGCUGCAACUGUGUCGCAGCAGGUGCCGCUCUUUCAACACCUAGCGCACCUGCUGCUCAGCAUGAGUGCCCCUGCAAUUGCAGGAGAGAACAUGCACUGCGUGCACCGACCUUGCAUGCAUGUGUCCUGGAGAUGCACACAUUGCCAGAAGAAGUGGCGAAAGCCCCACCCUGGUAGCGGGAGGGGGGACUGGCAAGCCUCAACCUUAAGAAAGGUAACAGAGGGAGCUGACAGGGCGGGGAUUAAGUAAGAGCUGCCUGGCGCGACAGGUGAUGAGCGUGAUGAUGCUGGCAAUGGUGGCGACGGCUGUUGUCUCAACGGUGUCCAUGUCAGCGCUCAUGGUGAAGCGUGCCCAGGAGGCCGCCCCAACACCUGCGGCGCAGCUGGCAGCACUGCUCAACCCUCCCACUCCGACCUACAGGUGUUCCUAUAGCCUUCAGCUCCUGUAGCCAAACUACUAGACCACUGACAGAUUUUCUCUGUUCACCAAAAAGCAUCCAGUGAUCUUGCUUGUUGUGCAGAUUGCUUGCGCACACCAAAAGGCAGGGUGUUAGGGGAGGGUCCUCCCCUUUUCACAUUAUUUCACGCCCUGUAGGCCACGACUCUGAAGCCCUGGAAACAAAGCUGACUAGAGCAGGCAGGGGUUCUGAGAUUGUCUCUGUGCUCAUCUGGGCUCAGCGGAGGGUGGUGGGUGUGGCAGGCCGACAGUGGCUCGGAGGGAUCGGGCGCCGCCUGUGCAGCAGAUAGUGGAGGAGUCUGUGUCGCGGAGCAUACAGUGGGCACCCUCGCCGCCCCUGCAGCCGAGUUUCACCCCAGAGGUUGGCCGCGGGGUGCCCCAGACCGACGGCGAACAUCAGCCCCACACCCCGACGCUCUACAUCCCCGCUCCCUUCACCACGCCCGCCCCCAUCCUGGUGCGCCCUACCCCGCCUCCCAACCCCUCAAGGCUGAAUCACUUGUCUGCCUGCCUCUUUACACCCCCAAAUAUCCGUGCUAAUUGAUGCUCUAGUUUCACAGCAUAUCCCCUGCUGCAUGGACAUACCUGCUACAUAUAGGCAUCUGUAUAAUAGAUGAGCAUUCUACAAAUGCAUUUCCAACACACCUAGCCACCCGGCUUGAAAAGUCAGUAGUUCCAUGCAUGCCUUAUUGUGCUCAAACCGAUUCCUGGUGCACCUUCCUCAGGCACCACCGCCAGUGGUGGAGGCCGGCCCCCCGGCGUGCAACGUGACCUACACCAAGACGGUAAAGACGAUCACGAUGGAGCCCACGGGCAAUGUGACACACGUGGAGACCUUUACCUACAUGAUCCCCUGCGCGGAAGCGCCGGCGCUGCCGCCGGCCGGCGCGCCCGACAGCGCCGAGCCGACCGUGACCCGCACGACGCGCACGCUGCCGCAAGGCGGCAGCGCCGGCCAGACCGGCGGCCCGGACGCCGACGCCGCGUCCCCCGACGGCGCUCAGCCGCCCGGCUACAAUCCGGAGGUGCCUUGCCUGGCAUGCAGUUUGAGUGCUCGCAACUCUCCUCCUUAUUCUGUUUGGCUUUCCAAGGUCUGGGGUACCUGCUACUGGAAGGGCUCUGCGACCUAUUAUCAACCCAGAGGCGUGCCCUCAGCCAAGCACUGCAAUUGAGAAGACAUCUCUCAUAUCUGAGUUUUGUUUGGCUCUCAAGAUUAAGCCCCACCUGGACUGAGAAGCACCAAGGCUCACAAAAGAUUGCGCACAGGGUGGUGCAGGCAGCAAUUGUGUUUGAUUCAAGGAGGGAGUCUCAAAGGUGCACAGGCAGCAUUGGAAAAAUCUGUUUCGUGUGUCUCGGUAGGAAUUUGCGGCGCCUGCGCCGGCGCCGGUCGGCGCGGAGUCGGACCGGCUGGCGGCGCUUCUGGCUGCGGACCCCACGCUGGCCGCACAGCUGGCGUUGCUGUCACCGGGGGAGGCCCCAACCGGAGGCCCCUCACGCCUCGCCGCGCUGCUGGCCGCCAACCCCUCGCUGCGCGAUUUAUUGCCCCCCGCGCCGGGAGAGGGCCCCGCGGACAGGGCCACGGCGGACGGUGGCACCAACCCAGACGAUGCCAAAGUUCGCGCAUCUCCUUCCUCCCCACCUGUGCUCCCUAGAUGUGAACAUGCCUUUCACCAAGUCCAUGAUGCCGUGCAUCGCCUUGAAUGGUGAGGGGAGUACCUCUAAUUCUUGUCCAGGGUGCUGCCUAGAUGGGGACAUGCCUGUCAUCAAGCCAGGAUGACAUGCCUCCCACGUUGCCCUCAAGGAUUACGAGCCAUUGGCAGAGACUGGGCCAGGCACAAUAUACUCGAACACUCGAUGACAAUGCUCCUUUCUUAAUGCUUGCAAUCCACCUUGGAUGUCUUCAGACUGGCCCAUCUUCUCCGACAAGGUCCAAAUCUUGAGUCCCUUUGCUUGGACCGGUGUCUGACAGAUGAUGGCAUUGCAAGCAGGUGUCGUAUGAUGUGUGGGGCCGGCCGGUGAGCGACCCGGAGGCGGAGCGUGCGGCUGACGCGGCCGAGAACGCGCAGCCGCUCGCGACGACGCGGCGGGACGCGGCCGGCACGGCGGCGGCGCGGGAGGAGGAGGUGGCGCGGCUGCGCGCGGAGCAGCGAGCCUGGUGGGACGCCGAGCUGGCCAAGGCCCGCGAGCAGACCCACGGCCACGCCGCUCGCCCGGUGAGCCGCCCGCCCUCCUCCUUGUGCUCCCAGGCUCCAGCUUGGCAUCAAUUUUGAAGUUUACCUCCUAGUGGAUGAGUCCUUAAACACCGAGCUCUGGCAGUCGUGGGCUGGCCACACUGUGGCAUUUACUGUGCUGAUCCUCAAUGUUGCUUAAUUCAGGCAGCUGUCGCAGAGCAGAGGGGCAGAGUGUGCUGCAUUGCGCGUGCGCAGGUGGACUUUUCGCACAAGCCGGGGGAGGGGGUGGAGGGGGAGGCACACCCGGUGGAGCACAGGGUGGCGGUUGACAUGGCAGGGGAGCGGCUGCGGCCGGAGGCGGACACACGGUGGGACAUGAGUGACGAGAUCGCCGACUACCGCGAGCGCAUGGAGUGGAAGCACCACUUCACCAUCGGCCGCCCCGCUCGCAGGUGAUCCCCGCCCUAGCUUAUUGUAAAUAAUCUGAGUCUUGUAGGGGUAGUUGAUAUACUAACAAGCCAGGCUUGCGCCGUGUCCUCUCACAUGGAACGAGUGAAGUUUGAAAUUCAAAGCCCUUCUAUGUACCUCCCCCGCCUUGUACCGGCCCCGCCAGUGUGGAAUCUGGAACAUUGGGUUCGCCGAAUCUAAUGCCUCCACCUCUGCACGCAGCUCAAGGGCCAGACUUAGCCGAUUCCUUGCGUCCCUCAAAUCAUGUCUUGGACACCAACAAAAUUUUGGGGCGCAGCAGUGUUGCACUCUUGUCGUCCACAGCGAGAUGCAGCUGUGGCCAACUCUGCGGCAGAGAGGCUGCGUGAAGCCCUGCAUGUGCUCUGAGGUUUCUGAGGUGGUCUGUUGUCACUGUGCCCUGCAGAUUCCUGAGGGAGGCGGCGGAGGCGAGUGGCAAGUGGAGGGUGUGGCGGGGGAUACUGUCAUCUCUGGUGAGGGCUGUGGUCAGGUGGCUGCACAGCGGCAGGAAGGUGCCGCUUGCAAUUUGAGGCCAAGUGCAUCGAGAGGCAGGAGAGGGGACAAGGACAGCGGUCUGUCUCUGGGAAUUUGUUCUUGGCUGUAGCACAGGAGGCGCUGAUUUUGAAUGAGUAUCUCUCCCUGGCAGCUGGAGCAAUGGUUUUUGCAGCCAGUGAUAUUUGGGACUUGGAUAUUUGGGCCUUUGAGGCAGCUGCAACGGAGGACUGGUUGGCCUGCACAGACGCAGACGAAUUUCAAGCAGUUUGGGGUCUUAUCUUCUCAGCCGCUCAGGCAUGGCGGCUGAUGGUAUGGGCCAGAAUGCUACAAUAUGAGGGCAGAUCAGAUCAAAAGUUUCUGUGCUUCCUGUGUUUCGUUUCGUUUUGUUUCGUUUCCUUCUGGGCUGACAGACACUGAUAUUGCUUUCCUAGCUGUUAUGCAAGGUGACAGCGCUUAUUGAGGACUUGAUAUCAUCCGGCUAAUUCAAGGCCUGCUCUGCCUAAGAAGCCGACUCAUUCAUUGCCCGCAUCUGAUUUGCUCAUGGUUUUCUUCUGCUAUAUCUGCCCUUGGGAGCUGAAUAUCAAUAUUACUCAACAUGCUUGACAUGAAUUGGCAUGCCUGACAGUACUUCCACUGAUGGGCCCAAGAUUGUCAGUUUUUUAGGAGCAUGACUUGUCACACCCCAAGCACUUCUUGGCAGGAUGCAUCACAUCUGUAAAGAGGUUGACUUUGCAGUGCAGAGCAACACGCCCAGUACUGCAGUAACCUUUGAAUUGGGUCUUUGAAGAGAUGAGUCUUCGUGUAGCCGCAUUGCGAGCACAACUGAAGCUCAUGAGGAAAUCUGUGCAGGGACACACUCGUAGUCUCAUGUUCAUGAACUGAGGCAUGUACCAUGUUGCAUCCAUAUAAUAUGAUAUUGCAUGAAGCAGGAAGCCCUGAGGCAGACAAGCGUAGGCUUUUAAAUUCAUGCAACUGCCUCACAACGCUAAAUGCUGCCUGCCAUGAUGACAAAGGAUUCAAACAUGCACGCCAUGCAAAAGACAGUAGUAACUACAUGCACGCCUUAUUACAUUGAAUGAAAUGUCUGAAAUAAUCUAGACCGUGCAUCUAGAUCAAGGAUGCCAGUAUGCUGCAAUGUUGCUGUGACCGAUAAGAAGAGCAGCCAGACAGACAAUCGAUCUUGCUGGAAUCUCGGCAAGAAAUCUGUUCUGAGAUGCUCUGUAGAACAAGCGCAUGCAUAGGCGCUCAAAUUCUACAACAUAACGUCUAUAUACAUUUAGUCAUAGCGCCCUCCCAGUCUGCAAGGUCGCCGCAAAAGUAUACCACGGAUGGGAGCAUUUUGGCUUUGCGACCCUUGCAAGACAAGCCUUCCUAGAAAAAAAAUUGGUCUGCUGACACAAACAUUGUGACAGGACACCAAGCUUCGAAAUCCCUGUGCCGCAGAGACCCUGCGGCACCCUCCCAAAAGCCCUCUAAUGGGGGAGAAAUUCAGGUUGAAUGCAGUACCAAAUUCCUGGCCAGAAGUUUCACUUUUUGCUUCUGGCUCAUCACGCAACCGUGAGGCGAGGACAUGCAUUUCUGGCAGAAUGGGUCAACAGCACAAAAAGCACAGGGUCUGACCAGUCAUGGUCCUGAAAUAAAGAUAAUCCUGCCCCGCUCCUGAAGACAGGAGCGCCCGGCUGCAGUGUGAGCAGGCCUGACAGAUUGCCACGCCAACGCCAGCCGAAAGGAAUUAAGCCAAAGAUAUAAAAAGUCAGGUUGCUCUCUGUCACCACUCGUGCGACCGAAAAAUUGCCAGCAUACCACAUGCCGUUCACCAGGUGCAGCAGAAAGCAGCCUGGAGUGACACUUACAACAUCACACUUAUAACGAAAUCCCCUCAGUACUUGAGCCAUUCUGCGGUCUUGGUGCUCUCCUGGCUGCGCCGCGCCUGCGCAGCCCGGAACAGCUGCUGCGCCAGCUCCUCAUCGGCGCGCUCUGCCUCCAGCGAUCUCCCCUCCUCCUGAAUCCGCACCUUCACGGGCGGCAGGACCGAGUUGAAGGGGCUGAGCACCGAGCUGCCGACGCUGCCCUCUCGGCUGACCCCUGCCAGGGUGUCCAGCGAGGGGUGCAGAGAUCCCGAGGAGCCGAUGCCGCUGCCGGGCGCCGAUCGGUCCGCGGCUGCGCGCGCAGCGCUCACAGUGUGGCCCCGGGGGUCGGAGGAGCGCCUGCGCAUGCUGUCGGCCGCGGACUUUGCCGGCACGGAGCUCGCGGCGGCGAGGACCGGCUGCGGGUGGGUGCUGCGGCGGCCGAGGCCGGCGUCGCUGGCGCGCACCCAGAACGACCGCGUUGCUCCGGCCGAUGUGCGGCGGUGGGCGACAGGGGACGCCCCUUGUGGGGACGCCUCCUGUGGGCUGUCCGGCUGCCCGUCAUGCGGUGGCGAUGACCCCCUCAGCGCGGCCUGGCUCGCUCGCUGCCACAGAGCCUGCGCAGCCAUGAGCGGCUCAGUGGCUGCUCUUCCGUGCUGCCAAGAUCUCUUCAGCAAAUGGGCAUGGCAGCUCAGCAAGUUUCUCGUGAAUUUAAGGUCCUCUGAUGUUGAGCAUGGGGCUGUCAUGCACCAGAGGUGACCAGCAAUGCGUGCACAGAGGUGCCACGGCGCAGGAGGAUCCAUGCGCGCACCCUGCCGUUGGCCGACGUGCCGCCGAGCCGGCCGGAGCCGCCGUCGGAGCUGUCGGUGGCGGCGCGGAGGGCGGAGGAGCGGAUGGAUGCGGAGGAGCUGAGGGGCACAUUGCCGGCUUUGACCAUGGCGAGCGAGGUGUUGCGCACGGCCGCCGCCUGCCGCAGCCGCACCGCUGCCAGCCGCGCCGACUGCUGCUUCCCGGCAGCCGCCAGGCCCGAGCCCCGCGCCGCCUCCCGCUCCUUCUGCGCUGGGGCGGGCUCGUCCGCCUCUGCGCCGUGCCCUGUGCGGCCGCCGCUGUGCUGCCUCCCUGACUCGCCGUGCCCGUCUAGCGCUGAAGCUUGCAUGCCUUCGUGGCCCCCUGAGUCACUCCUCCCUGAGUCGCCGUACGCGUCCUGCGCGGCCGCCUGCCAGAAGCGGUUGGCCGCCAGGUUGGUGCUGGGCGUUGGCGCCUGUGUGGGGCGGAUCUCUGCGAGCUCGGCUUUCGGCGGCGGGGCCGCGCGCUGCUCGGUGAUCUUCGCCGGCGCGCUCCUGGGCUUGUGGUCCUCGUCAGCGGACGUGCUUGCGGCGGUGCGCCAGAAGUCCAUGGCGGCGGCGUGGAUGGGCGGAGGCGCCGCGCUGGGCACCUUGGUCACCUCCACGGUCUUGGAGGGCGUUCCCGAGGCUGCCGGCCCCUUCUGCUGAGCGGCUGGCGCAACCGCCUCCUUGGACGGGGCGGGCUGUGCCUUCUGGCCGUCCUCGCUCGUCUCCGAGCCCAGGCUGGACUCAAAUCCGCGGCUGGCCGCCGCCUCCCAGAAGUUGCUGACCAGCGCCUGCACAAACCAUGAAUUUAAAUUCCAGUACCGCAGCCUGACGCAGCAUCUUGCCCUUCGUGCAAAGAGUGACCACUUCUUAGUGAGCUGUCAGACGACUUCAGGGAUUCGAGUUGAGAGGCAUGCCUGCGUGGGGUCCUUCUUCGUCUCUUCCUUCUUUCCUGGCGCUCCCUGCACGCCAUUUCCCUCUGCAGGGGCGCGCCUGGGUGCGUUCAAGGCUGCUGCGUCAUGUUCUGCAGGCGGUGGCUGCUGGGCGGCCGCGGCCGCGGAGUGCUUGAGGGCGCCGCGGGUGGGUCGGCGGGGCACGCGCGCCGGCGCAGGCGCGGCCGAGAGCUCCGCGCUUGCCAGGUAGCCGGACGGCUGCGUCUGGCGCGAGGACCUCGGCGACAGCUCGCGCGGCCCCUCGUCAUCGACCACCUGGGAGCUGCGCGCAGAGUAAUGCAGAAACAAAUCAGAAAGAUGUGAAUGUCUCAGACGCCAGAGGACAACCUCACAACACCAGAGACUGUGCAGACACACUAAACACUCCAUGCUUGCUUUUAGAUGCCUGCAUCCUCAAACUACUUGCACCAACCUACGAUUCCGCCCUUAUUUUUGGCAAUAGCUAUCUCUCUGCGCUACGGAUCAUUUGUGGCUGACCGGAUCGGCUGCAGAUGCGUUCAAUGCAAUUUCAGGGCUGACAGGAGGGUGUGAAAGAGAAAAAGAGAGAGGAAAUAUCGCGGUGAGAGCACCUGAAGCGGACGCGUGAGGGGGCCGGGGAUGGGGCGGGGGAGUCUGCUACAGAGGACACGGAUCCACUGGUGGUGGACAGCUUGGAGCGCGCGAAUGCCGGGCGCGUCUCCAUCUGCCCCGCGGGCGUCGCCGGCUCUGCCAGCUUGGGCCGCUGCGGCAGGGCCGCCGAUGGCAUCGGCCCGACAUCCCGCCCGCUGUCAUCCUCCUCCCUGUAAUACAACCUCGUCAGUCUUUCAUCGCUGUUUGCUUCAUGCAAGCAAGUUCCGUGAGUCAGUGCGCAGCUUGUAUCUCUCAAUGACUGCAAUGAUGAGAUGGUGGAUGCAGAAGGGUCCCAGCAAAGGGUUUGGAAAGAGAGAGGAGUGGUUUGAGGUGUUCAAACUUGCUGCAGGGCCACAAAGAGCAGAUACGCACUCGUCGGAGUCAUCCUUGGGCAGGCCCAGAGAGGGGCCGCCCAUGAAGGAGGCGCGCAGGCUGCCCAUGCCGGGCAGCAUGCCCCUUCUUUCCCCAGGCGCCGCGCCCCCGGAGGCGGUCGCGCUGCGCUGGCCGUCCCGCCGGGGCAGCAGGCUCGCCAGCCGCGUCAGCCCCUUGCUGAAAGCCGGCGCCAGCACGCUGCCCUGCUUCUUCAAACCCCCUCCACCACCUCUGCGCCGGCUGGACCCCCCGCCCCUGCUUUCCUCUUCUCUAUCAAUGUCAUCGUCCAGGUCCUCUCCGUGGGCGGCCACCGCGAGCGCGAGGGCCUCGGAGGAGGCGUCGCUGGCGGUGCUGGAUGAGUCAUCGUCCGACUCAGCGUCCUCAUCAGCAUCGCUGGAGAUCCCCCCGCGCUCGAUCUCCUCCUCAAUGAUUGCGUCUGCCGCGCGCAGCAGCCGCCGAUGCUCCUCCUCCGCCUCGAGCUCCUCGCUCUCCUGUAUGCAGGAAUGGUCAGGUUGAGAGGCGAGUAUUAGUAUCUAAUACCGGCAAAUGUUGCUCCCCACACCUUCUUCCCGCUCUCGUUACUCGGUUCUGGCAGGACGGCUGCCGGCAGGCGCAUCAACUCUUGGGACUGCCUCAGGCUAGCAAGAGUGAGAGGCUUCCGAGGAGCCUUGCCUGGAUGCUCUCCAGCGACGUCCCGGGCGACAGGUUGCGCGGCGCGGCCGGCGGCUUGGCCUCAGCCGCGGCCGGCGACAUCGGCGCCGCCGCCGCACUGCUCGACGGCCCCUCAGACGCUUCCGUUUCAAAUUGCUCCUCCGCGGACUCGUCGAGGCCCUCGCUGACGACGUACAGGUCGGUGGAGAGCGAGUGCUCGGUCAAAGCGGCGCGCUCGGUGUCGCUGGACGCGCGGCCGGACUGGCGGCCCCAGCUGUCCACGUUUGCUGUGUCCGCGCUCCAAUCGGAACCCGCGCUGAUGAACCGGUCCUGUGCAAACAUCCAGAAUUUCAGUAAAGAUCCAUUUUUGUCGUCAGUUUAUAUGUAUUGCACACUGACUGGCACCCAAGCUCAUGGGGAUGACCUAGAGCGUUUGUCGAUGCCAUGUGAGCAGGGCAAUGUGAAGCAAGGUCCAUGAAGCAUGGCAGAGCAAGGGGACUGUUGGUGAGCCGUGCCUGCAGGGUGGAAGUGGGGCUGUGGGAGAGCACGUCUGAGCAGUCGGUCUUGGGCUCGCCGCUCUUGAAGUCCUUGCUGUUCCAUGGCCCAGACUGCAAGCUGCCGGCGUUGGCUGUGGAGGGCAGGUCAUCACGGUCUGCAUGCAUAGCAGUGUGGAAGGUGGUCUCGCCAGAGCCGGAUGGCCCCACGUCUGCCAGGGCAAGCGCCGCUGCGUACGCUUCGGGGUUGGCCACUUGCUCCAUGGCCUCCUCCACAGUUACCGGGCUGCGACAACAGAACACACCAACUCAGCACCUCCCAAUGCGCACCAAUACAGGCUUUCAAGGAUACACAGACUUCCAGAAGCAACCAUGGAUUAUGCAGGUCUGGUAUACAGGCAGAGGCAAUGCUGCUUAGUUAUUGUUUCCAGCAGCUGCUGAUGCCGGUGGGAAAUUGGCAUGCUGAGGCAGAGCUAGGCCUGUGUUUGCAUCCCUACCAUUCCUAUCAAGGCCUUCAUGACUAGUAUGCCAAGCUGACUCAUUCGAGUCCAGUGGGCUUCAGAGAACAGGGGAACUACAGAUACAGAUCCCCCUGCAAACUGAAAGGGGGUGCUUUGUAGAAGUGAAGCUGUGUUUUGUGAGUGCACCAACCGCGCAGGUUUGUGAAUGCACCAAUGCUUCCGGAGGACCUUUCAGUGCGCGCACCUGGCCAUGAGGCGGUCGUAAAUGACAGAGGCGGUGGGCCGUUUGUCGGGCAGGUUGGCUUCCAGGCAGUCCUCGAUGAGGCGCGCCACGUCGGGCGGGCACUCCUCGGGCACACGCACCGGCCGCAGGUUGCCGCGCGCCGGAGUCAUCAGCGUCACCAGCUCCCACAGAAUAAUCCCAAAGCUGUAUAUGUCCACCUGCGCAUGCCCAGCAGCCAAUCCCCGCUCACCAACAAUGGCUUGUUUCUCCAAAGCUUCUCCCAACACACACCGCAGCUGGCCAAUUUGCAGCAAAUGUGAUUUAACUGCACCCUUAGGCACCAGCUUGAGCUCAGAUGGGGCAAAUCAGGACGUGCGUUUAAAGGUGCAUAUCCUAGGUGUAGCCUUUCUGGCAGCACGGAGGGUACAUGCAGCUCAAUCCCUAUAUUGCAGCAGAACCGACAAAAGGACACAGCCCACACAAAAGAUUCUAGCAGCGCCUGCAGGCUGUUGACAGUGCAAAAGAUCGGGGACAGCAGCAUGGGCGUGUUGGAAGUUGUCAGUUGCAAGGAGGCACCUUGUGGUCGGAGCGCUUGCCCAGGAGCAGCUCUGGGGCGGCGUAGACGAAUGUGCCCAUGGGCAGAGAUUUGGUGUCCAUGUGUGUGUGUGCCAUGAAGCGUGCCAGGCCCACGUCCGCUAUCUUGGCCGUCAUGCGUCCCGCCGACAGCAGAAUGUUCUUCGUCUUCAUGUCCGCGUGCACCACCUGCUCAUGCACAUGUCAGCGGUCACACUCCUUCCAGUCCUGCAUGCACGGGGUCCCGUCUUGAUUACAGAUCAGCAUCACAUGAUCACGGCUAGACCAGCUCUGCUGGGAAGAGGUUUCCCUCACUGCCAACAAUGUGAUGCAGUGAAGUGACCCUGCAGAGAGCGCGCCUUGUGCUCGUGCAGGAAGUGGAGGCCGCGGGCCACGUCGAGCGCGAGGGCGCGGCCCUUGUUGUACCACUGCAGCUCGUCCCGCGAGUCUCCGCGCAGAGCCGACCACAUGUCCCCGCCCUGCCGCACACAGCUGACCCCCUCAGCACCCCCUCAAAUCCCAAUGUGCGUCUCAUGGCAUAUGCACAAGAACUCAAUUUCAAAGGCAUGCAGGCUAUUUUGGAAUUAGUGUGCAGACAUGGAGCGCACCUCCAUGAAUUCAAGGACCAGCAUUGGCGGGCUGACGCAGAACCCUGCGCAGUGAAACACACAAUUGUCACAGAUGGCAUGAGAGGGCAAAUUGGUCAGGAUUGAGCAAGAGCGAUGAAAGGAUAGAUAAGGAGGGGAUAGGGAAAUCACCGUAGAAUUGCACGAUGUUCCUGUCAAAGCUGCACUGCUGCAUGAUGUACACUUCCUGCGCAGUCAGCCACAGCAGCUUAGUCCACAAAACUGGCGAUGCACGUAUAAUUCUGUUCUGCAGUCUGGCAACAAACCAGCAAAAGGCUUCAAGAUGCACAUAGCACACAGAGGGAAAGAAGAAUCAGAAUCACACCCGCUGGAAGCUGAGCAGCUCGUCAUCGUUGAUGCACUUGAGCACCUUCACUGCACACUCCUGCACGUGCCUCCUCAUGGCCUUGUACACCUGCACAACAGUCAGCCCGGUCCGAUGGCACAACAUUUUGCAGCCCUGCAACUUGCAAUCUCAGGUUUUGCAUGCAUGGGAUUGCAGCAAUGGAGAGCAAAAUGUCAGCGCUGUUGGACAGCAGGAGACCUACCGCGCCAAAGGUGCCUUGACCAAGCAGCCAGUCGGAGCCGUCCCUCUUCUUGCAGAUGGUCAGGUCCUGAGGCGCUAUGAUGGACGCUGCCGGUGUGUAGCCUGCUCAACACACGUUACCAAUAGGCCACCUCACCGCUGCAACAUGCCUGCUUCUGCAAAGCCUCCACAGGAUGGAAGGGAACAUGCAAUGAAGCUUACAUAAUGAUCAGAUGCCCAGGAGUGGACCUGAGGAGGGCUGAUCCAGGAGGUGGUACUUGUAUAAUUGGCGUGGAGUAUAAACGAAUGAUAAUCUGCCUAGAACACGUGCAGCAGAAAGGGGAUCAGUAGGCAGAAUGUAGGCAAUGGGUUACAAUGGAGAGAAAAGUCCCCUAGAUCGGGCAAGCACAGGGGAUUGCAAAGAAGGGGAAAGGGGGAACACACCUGGAGGGGGCUUCAUGGCGUCGCUGGAGCCACUCCCGGAGCUGGCUGUGCGGCCGCCGGCAAGCAGGCUGGUGCCCAGGCCGGAGCUCCUGCUGCUGCUGCCGCCCGCGCCGAGGGAGCCGUCCCCGCUGAAGGGGCCGCCCCGGCUGCUGCGGCGGCUCUCCAGGAACGGGUAGUUGAGGCUGCUGCUGUCAAACCUGCACCACAGCAGUCGUCGUUUCCUCUCUCAAGAAACCCCUUUAAUCCCAAUCCAGCGGAUCCUUGGGCACCAGUCUGACCCCCGAAUCGGGCAAUCUACUCAUGGCACUCAGGCCAGGAAGUGUGUCGCCAUGAGACCUUGAUGCUAGAAAUAUGAAGAGCAUGCAUGCAUGCAGAAGACACAUAGUGCUGUUUCUCAUGUAAGUUCAGGGUAAGAGGACGGUGAGGAGUUGCAGCGCACCCGCCGUUGCUCUUAGGUGCGCUGUCCGUUGUCUUGUUGCUGUUCAGGUUGAGGCCAUGGUAAGGGUCCAGGUUGUUGUUGAUGUUGACCUCAUUCAUAGCUGCAUCCUCCUUUCUUUGCUUGCGCCUGCCAUGACAAUCCCACAAUCAUUCAUACAAGUCCUUCACGGAGACUCUGAAGGAACUUGUCUACGAAACAACUAGCUGUCAGAUGCUCAACAGGGUCGAGAGAUGUGCUCACCUCCUGUGCAUGAAGAUGCCAACAGCCAGGCACGCAAGCGCAAGUGCAGCUACAACGCCCGCAGCUAACCCGGCAAUGAGCCCCAACGGCAUUUUGCCCCCUUCGCCAUGGCGUCCCGGCUCAGCACUGUUCCCACCUGCAAGGCAAGCCUGUUCUGUCAGGAAAAAGGGCCCAGGCUUGCAUGACAGAAAGGUGUCUCAAACCAGCAUUGUUCCUUAUGCACAAGCUGGUGAAGGCCAGGAAAAGCUAUCAUAAAUUUACAAGCUGCAAUCUACCUGCGGGUGCCGGGAUUGCGGACGGUGUUGCUGGAACGGCAGUGGCGGCAGCAGCUGCAGGGCUCUGGGGGCUCCUUGGCGUGGCGGCAGCCUGCUGCGGCGGGCUCUGGACUGCCAUAGGAGCACCUGUGAUAAGGGCAAUGGCAGACAUGUAAUAUCACAACCGUGGCAUACUUGAUUCUGCCUCAAGAUGGCCAAAUCUGCCGAUUGGUCAUGUGUUGGUAAGUCCAAACAUGCACAUACGCCUGCUUCUGACUGAUAUUGUUGAUUUUGCCUUGCGGUGCAUGCCUUGUAGUUUUCAGGCUGAUGUAUCUCACCUGGCGCGGUCGAGGGUGAGUAACCCAGGGCCUGCAGCGUCUUGGACAUGGAGUCCGUGAGGGCCUUGGUCAGGUCGACGGCGGCCGCAACCGAGUUAGUCAGCGCUUUGUCAGCGUCCGAUUGGCCCGGCGGAGGCGGCGUCGCCGCCGCUGCCGCUUGCGCCGCAAUAAGAUCAGCUGGCGUCGUGAAGUUUACUGCACCCACAGCAAACACUUGUGAGCUCAUCAGGUGGGGUACAUAGAUAUGCCGGAGUGGUUGCAUUGGCAAGAGGUAGCUUGUCCUUAAGAAGCGGACAUUGCUCGUUCUUACCUGACACAACCUGCACAGCAUCUACUGGCACCCCUGCCAGCUGGAGGCUCUUCAGGAGCUGCGGAGACAGCACCUGCCAAUCCUGCAGCACACACAAGCAUGCGUCUCAUGGAUGUCACCACACUCCUUGAAGCCUGUAAAUCUGCGAGCUGCGCAAAAAAGGAAGGCUAGGUUGGAGCAUACCGCCACUGUUGUGGGCAGAGAGAGGCUGGCAAAGCAGUCAAAGUCGUAUGUGAUGUUGACGUAGGGCACAGCCCUCGACGCCAGCAGCUUGCGCCCAGGAGCUGCAAAGCAGCAGACACCCACUGUCAGAACUCGUAAUCGACCCCAGCUCUAAUAACUCUGAGGUUCUCUAGACACAAAUGGAGUGCUUUGCUGCUGAACGCCCACUGAGAAGGACUGUAAAUUGGCAGGUACUGCAAGGAGAAUGCAGGAUCACCUGCGGUUGAGGGGAUGGCAGCGCUCAGGGAGACGAAUAUGGCAACGUUGGAGAGCGUGCUUUUGAUGGCCCCCAAGGUGGCCUGCUCCUGGUAGGCUGGGAAGGGCAGGAUCUGAUUUCCCUGCAGCUGGGCGGUGAUGGUUCGGGUGCGCGUGGGGAUGGGCGACCAAAAGGAAAAAAUAGGCUGCAGCAGUGGCGGGUGCAGAACGUCUGCCUGUGCCACUUCCUGCAUGCGCACACGGCACUCGGACAUUGCAAAUGGGUGGAGCAUUGAAUUAGUGCCCUUUCAUCUGAUUGAAGUUGGCAGCGCAGCCUGAAGUGGCUCGUCCCGGGUGCGGCCAGAAAGGGGUGCGUGUCAAAGGCAGCAAGCCAAGGAUUGGGGCACUCACCUGCCAUUCAAGAAGACCCCCGACUCGCGAGAACAUCUCAGUAAACACCCAGGACAUCGUGUUUUUUGCCGCUGCUUUCCCAGCAGCCACAUCCUGCACAUGCAUCCACCACCCUUAAGAGCCACUGAUGUUCACAUGCAUGGAGAAAGCUGCCCAACUGAGGAUCGCGAGAGGGAUGCAUGUGUAGAUUGAGCGCACCACAUUGUUAAGGGACGACAUGACAAACGGCGUCCGGGUGUCAUCCAGCAAGAGCACCAGCAUGCUGACACAGACGCCCAUCUUCCCAUUCGCGCGCGGGAUUGUGCAAUCAACCAUUGAAUCAUUGGAAUUUGCGGGCACCAUGGACAGCACCUGCAGGGUAUACACGCAUUUGCGCAUGCAGCAAGAGGAACUUGUUCGAGAUAUUUCCAUAGCCCCUGAGCAUGCAGGCACUCAACAGCCGCGCCCCUUUCAGGGUGGGAGAGCAGCAUUAUUGGUAAGUGGAGGCUCACCUCAAAGAGGAUGCCCUGGGGAUAGUAAAGCUGCCCCAGCAGAUUCACCAGGUCGCUCAACGUGCUGACAUUGACUGCGAAGUUGCUGGCCGGCCCAUCAGCAUAAGCGCUGACUGUGACAUUGACAAAGGCCCGGAAAUUUGAGACGUUGUAUGCAGGCCCCAGUGGCAGAGGCAGCGGCAGCACGCUAGCACCGCCGGGAAACAGUGCAUUUGUUGCAGCAGUGUGCAGCUGGCUGUUGUCCCCUUCGGCAGGAGCCCCACUCCCUGUGCAGUGCAAGACAGCAGGCAUGGGACUUGAACCUCGAUAAUAGAAUGUGGUGUGACCUUUGAGACGCAGAACAACCUACUUCAGCAAUUGAGCUAUAUCACCCCACGUCAUAACGAUCGGUACCAAAGUUUGCUGGUGUGUACUGGCAAAGCACGCCCUGACAAACAAGGAAAUCGAACGGCACACUAUUUUUUGCAAAAAUAACUUGUGUUGUGUACAAUUUGCCACCCCCAACAAGGUAUAGCUCCAUUUUGCAAGCAUUUUGCUAGUGUCUCAAGCAUCCAAACCGUCGCAUUGACCGGCUUUGGGUUGCAAUAGAACUGCACCAAUACGUUCAGAGCUCCCAUUCGAUUGCCUUGUGCAGAUUGUACUUAGAAGCAAAACAUUUGACAAGGACUGAAGAUUCCCCCUGUCAGGUCUGAGCUGAUCCAGAUGGUUUGCCGUACAAUCCCUGCUCACCUGUUCUUAUGCAGCCGAUGACAAGUAUCGCGGCAACCUGACGCCACAUUAUUUUUUGGUGCAUUUUUAAGCUCCAAUUGGUGUAGUCCGAUCCAACGAUGCAUUGGAAGCCCAGUAUCUGACGGCGGGUUCUGAGUCGGAAAUGCUGUUCAUAUUUCUUUGGGAAGCGCACGGGUCUUUCUUGCACGCUAGUCCGCUUCAAGUGUGCUGUUGCAGCAGAACCUCGGCAUCGAGGAGCAAUCCGCCAGAGACCGUUGCACCACCGCGCUGCAAGUUUCAGCUUGCGAACUUCCCGACAUCGCUGACGUCACUGUGACUAACAGGCAUAUGACUCCACGGAACUUUAGCUUAGGGUUUAAAACUUAGGGUUUAGGGUAGGGGCCUUUAUAGCAAUAAUGUUCCCCAUAUGACUCUGCGGAAGCCAAACUUGGCUUCAGGCAAGCAAGCCCCUGUCCAUGACGGCGACUUCUUUGUUGGAGGCAUCGGUGGAAGGAUUGCGAAGGAAUCGAAUACGUCAAACAGAAAUCGAUUGAAGAAAAGUGUAGAAUCGUUUCAACAAAGGAGCUCAUCAGACGUAUAGUCGAAAUUAUACUUGCCCAUACGCGUUAUUACGAGACUGCAACUUGAGAAAUAAGGCACUUGCUUGCAAAGAGAUAUAUUUGUUUUCAUCUUAUAUAUCCUACAAAUUAUCAGGGGUCUCCCAGAAUGUGUGAAUCAAGGGUACAGGUUGAGGCCUCAAACGGCCAAGACCGUCCAGUGAAAGCAAAGAAAGUGAAGAAAGGGCUGGAGCCCGUGAGCGCAGAGGGAGAGGGUGGGGGUAAUUGCAAGUUUGCAAGAGCUCUGGGAUCGGUGGAUUGGCACACCCGAGAGCAGGGCCUGCAGGCUUUGACCAUCUGGCUUACUAGAACCACUCCUUCCGAGUCUGAUCUCACGAAGAUCUGGAAGGCGCUCUUCUUUUGUUUCUGGCAUUCAGACAAGGCUCAUGUCCAGGUAUGGUGUCUGCCUGCUUGAACCUCACGUGAUCUUCUUUGUGGAGGUCAAGAAAGUAGUGUGCAAUACAUUUGCAUGACUUUGCUGGUGUCUUUCACACAGGCAGAGCUUGCAGAGCGCUUAGCAGCCGUCCUUCCAUUGUUGAGUGCCGAGGUGAGCCCCAGAUCCCUUCUCAGCAGCCAGCCUUGAGCAUUUUGCGUGACCAAGGCAAAGCUACUGUGUUUGCCUCAAGUGUCUAAGGAAGCCAGGGAAUUCGCAGGGAGCGCUGCUGUACUUCAAGGUGUUUGCCAAGACGAUGCAGCGGGAGUGGUUUGGCAUCGACAAGCUCCGCCUGGACAAGUUCAUGAUGCUCGUGCGCAAGUUCCUGCACCAGCUCUUCGUCCACCUGCAGGAGGGUGGCUGGUGCGCAUGUCCUCCUGCCAAUAACCACUGCUCUACAUUGUCUUGAAGGCAUUUCACUCAUCCAGUCAGCUUCCUCAUAGAUCAGUGAUCAAAGCAAAGCUCACGGCGCGCAGAGUGGCUCAACUGCACUUUUUCGUGGUGGCAGGGACAGCGAAAGGACGGCGGCAUACUGCGCGUUCCUGUCAGAGGAGGUAUUCCUGAUGAGCGACCGGGAGCCGUCGGCUGGUUUUAGCCUGCACCUGGCGGACAUUGCUGUUUCAGAGCUGUGCGCAGCCUGUGAUGAGGCGGGCCCUGUGCCCAGAGAUGCGCUGGAGGUCAGCUCCGCUUUUGCAGUGCUAUUGUCCCUUUCACUGAUAUUAAGAGAUCAGAGUUGCAAGACAUGCAAGGCAGUGCCGAAUGGGGAGAAAAGCUGCUUUGUGGUGAACUUACAGUGCUAGUGACAUAAAAGACACCUCCUGUGGAUUGAAUUGGGUAAUUUGAGCUUGAUGCAUGCGUGGGGCCGAGAUGAAGCAUCAGGUUUUCACGCAUGCAGGCAUUGCUGGAGCCGUUCUGUCUCGCUGCAGCGCGCACAAAGAGGCCGGCGCUGAUGGCAAGGCUGCAGGACGGAGUCUUUGGAGAGCUGCUGGAGAUGGGCAGUAAUGGAGCACUGGCCAACAUGGACAUGCAGACCAUGGGUGCCAGGCUCUUUGACCUCGGUGAGGUUCUGGAGCCUCGCUGUUUGGCAUCACAGUGUGCUCCAACGACAUAGGAUCGUCCGUGCUCCUGCUGUAGCUUCCACAUCAAUGGUGAGAGGGAGAGUGUAACUGAUAUGUUGACUGGGUUGUCUGCAGGUGCGCAAUCGGAAGUCAGGGCCAGGAAUAGGGAGGUGCUGUAUGCUCUCAGCAAGCUCUUCGAGCGCGCGGAAGCCAAGCGGCAGAAGAAACUAAACGAACCUGCGCGUCCGCCGGCUCCAGCCUCUGGCGCUGGCUCUGGUGCACCUCCAGCGGCGGCAGGGAGUCGCGGUGCUGGCACAGAGGCCCCUGUGAAGCAGAGCGGCAAGAAGCAGAGGGCAGCUGAAGCGCCCUGUGCCAGCGACCUGGCAGGGGCAUGCGAGGGGGAGCUGCCGGCUCCCAGCACUCCCCUCACAACGCAGGGUGCAGCAGCAGCUGCACCAGCAAAACAGAGUGGGAAAAAGCGGAAACAGACAGUAGAUCUGCCUGGUGCGGUCCUCGCCUCAGCAGCACCAAGCAGCCAAGCAGGUCGCAUGCAGGAAGCAGCUUUAUCUGAGCCCAGUACUGCGCCUCCAGCAACGCAGCUGAAUGGUCAGUCGGGCGCGCAGUCCACUGGGAAGAAGAGGAAGAAGUCCAUGGCGGCCCUGGUGGCUGAAGCUGCCGCCAUGAAGGCUGGCAGGUCCGCAGGUGGCGCGCAGCCGGUGGCUGCCUCCACACCCGAUGCAGCCACCCCCUCAGGGCGGCCACCUACCACUCCAUCGUCAGCCAUUGCCGCGGCUGCAAAGCUCACAGAGUCCCAGCGCAAGAAGCAGGUGUGCAUGCAUUCUUCUCUUGAAGCAAUGCCCUCCACCUUACCUUGCGUGUAGAUGGUGAAUCGGAGGAUAUUAAACAGGUUUCAGCAGGUUGGUGUUUUCUGUGAGAAGGUUUGAAACAUGAGGCGUGGCGUUUGAAUGGGUGCUGUGUGCUGGGUGCAGGUCAAGUUUCAGAUGAAGAACAAUCUGUACUUUGAAAAGGGCGGGCCGGUGCCCCCAGCAGAGGUGCGGACGCCGCCGACGGCAAAGCCAAAGGGCAGCGCCCUCAAGAAGACGUCAUCUGUGGCGCCCAGACCCAAGAGCCCCAGGAUGCAGGGAAGCGGGCUGAAGAGGAAGACCAAGGCGGCCCUCUUCUUCUGACAGAGUGUAGGAGGUCCAUAGGAGACCGUUGAAUUUUGAGCUAUAGUUUAGACAAGAUUUUGAGACCUAAUCCUUGCAACCCUCACUUGUUCUGAGCUGACAUGAUGCAAUGAUGAUAGCUUUAUGUUUGGUUUGAGCCCACCAGCACACAUGUGCUUGUGAGUGAUAGGAAUUGAAGGAUGCCAUGCCCAUUUGUGGUUGUAUUGAGGCACCACAUGGAGCAAUGAGCAUCAGAAGAAUGUGCUUUGAAAAAAUCGAUUAUUAUGCACCAAGCUCCAUGCAAGAUUACACCUCAUCGUUUGCUCAGCAACCAACCGCCUGAGGCACCUAGCAUGCGCCACCAUGGCCUAGACACUAUCACGAAUCCAGCAUCGUUAGGAGCAGUGCAAUCCCCUCAACAAGAGCUAUCCGGUAUACCCAGCACCGCCGGUAGUGGCUGUGCCAGAAGUUGUGCCAACAUCAUAGCCACCGACGCGGUAGUGCCGAAGGUGCUCGAUGGGGAACCCUUCUGUCACCUUCUUGGGCACCACCUCCAGGUCAGCAUAGGUCAGCACAUUGGGAGGCAGCACGUGGUCCUGUGUCAUCUCCUCAAUGUAGUCCGCAGUGAACAUGGUGUUCACAGGGAUCGGGAACUGCGCACCACACAGCAGCCAAAUCUCAAUGUGCUGGAGACGCAGAAAACUGCAGACCACCCCUCAACAACAAUCAAUCAGUAGAUAUGCUGCAGACGAGGGGUUGUUGAGCUGCAAGGGAAGACCUGCAGACAGUGCGUAGUGAGAAGCUUGCAUGCUCUGGAGGUGCACCUACCAUUUUGAAAAGCUUCUCGCGCGGGACCGCCAGCAACCUGGCCACUGGCAGGGGCAGGUUGAAAGUGCUGAUGGGCUCCCGGAUGGUCGUGUACACCAAUUCCACAAUCUGCUUCACCCUGUGGUGGCCAAUAUAUCUUCAGCACUUUGCCCCUCUGCCGCCCACUCUGCCAUAACACUGAGCAGUGCAGAUCUUCAGCUUGCAGGCUGCAUUCGUAAGCUUUUGCUGGGCAAGAUUGUGCUGAUACACCAAGCAAAGAACACCCCUCAGGAUGGCCCUGACGGAUGUGGGCACAUGAAGGAGUGGAGCAUUAUGCUCUGCCGGGGUUUGGCAGCAGCAUACAGUCCCAAGUCCUACAAGUGCAACAUCUGCUAGUGACCAGCUGGCGCAUAUGUUGGUGCAAAAGCCACGCGUUAAGGGCCCACUAGUGUAAUGACCAACAGCUUUGGACAGGCACAGGCGAGGGGAGUGUGGCUCACGUGAGGACUUCAGGCCCGGCCAGGAAGUACUCCUUGCCCAGGGCCUCCUUGGUCUUCAGGGAGUGGAUCACUGCGUCGGCCACAUCGCGCACAUAAGUGGGCUGCAGCUUUGUCUCGCCGCCGCCCACCAGAGGGAUGAAGGGGACCUGCUUUGCCAUGGUCGCAUAGAUGUUGUACAUCCGAUCCUCUGUGCCCACCACAUGGCCCGGCUUGAAGACCGUCGCGUACGGCAGAAUCGACCGCACCGCCGCAUCCCCAGCCGCCUGCAUUGUAGCCAGAUAAUACCCAUUUCAAUGAGUAAUCCUCACAGUGGCCGCAUUGGAGCAGCCGUGUCUCACCAUUCCACAAAAUUAAAAUGAAGUUAUAGAUGAGGGGCCUCGCAAGGGAUGGUUGAAGGGGUUGGCGGCAGACCUUUGUGCGCAGCCGUCUGGAGGCUGCGUUUUCAGAGGCGCCAAUGCAGCUGAAUUGCACAAAGCGCUCAGUCAGGGGGUUGUCAGCAGCUGCCUGGGCGAUGCGCGUCGCCGCGUCGAUGUGCACGUCCUCGAAGCUGAAGUUCCAGGUCUCCUUGUCCAGGCCGGUCAGGUUGAUGAUCACAUUCGAGCGCUUGAUGGCAUCCUUUAUGUGCGAGUCGUCCCGGAUGUUGAAAUCCUUCCAUUGGUAUAUCUGCAAGCAGGCAGACAUCACGUUUGAAUGCCCGACUGUACCUGCAGGCAGCCUGACAGCAGGCCUUGCAAUGCAUAAACGAGAAGACUGGUCGCUGGGCAAUGCAAUCAGUGGGAGAUGGGGCGCAGUUGCACCUGUCCAAGGUCUCCCAUCUGCCGAAGAUACUGGACGUCCAAUUCGUCACGGCGGUAGGGCACAACCACCUGGGUCCCCUGCCUCGCCAGGGCAUUUACAAUGUAGCGGCCCAGGAACCCAGAACACCCAAACACUGUCGCUGUCACCCCGCUGAUCUGCAGAGUGGCACAACCGGCUAUGAGUAGACGUUAUAUCCACCGACAGCAAGAGCAUCAAGCAUGAUCCCUUCCACAUGAAAAGCAUGAUCACACAAGUGCCUCACCGAGGAUCUGCCACCAGGGCCAGCUUUGAGCCCUUUGUUCUUCACAGCAAACUGAGCAAGGUCCGCUGUAGCAUACUCCCGAGUAGAAAAGGCUGCGCCUGCAGAACAUUCGGGUCAUGAAAGAUAUCUUGGAGAUUUAUUUGAGAUGAAAGGCAGUACAGAAGUGACAAGUUCACAGAAAACGUGCAAGAUAGGUCAAGGCAGCUCAAGCUUUGUGGAGAAGAACAGAACAUCAAACACCAUCAAGACAUCACAUCCACAACAAGUGAUUUGAGAAUGCCUUGUAUCCAUUAUAAUAUUAUUUUAGCCUUAAAGCUCUCACAGCAUGAAGGCUUCAUUACCUGGGGCGAGCCUUGUUGCCAUAGAGCUGCACGCCUGGACAGCAUCCCUGCACUGCCGCAGAAUCAUUUCGCGGCAGACAAACAACCCCUUUCAAGAUGCUGAUCUCCUGUAUUCCCUAUCUUCUCCCUUUGUGUGAGAAGUUCAAGUGGGCAACGCAUCCAUGCUAUUGCCACCAAUGCAUUGCGAUCCUGUUUCUCUAUAGUGUCUUGCGUCCUGCACACUGGCCGGAGAGAUCACCAGGAUAGGUCCAGUCCCGAGGAGAGCACUUUGCUCGUCGGACACCCCAGUUAGUCAUCUGUACUAAUCUUCACGUGACAAGCCUAGACAGGCGCACCAGGGGAGACUCUACUGCCCUGCGCCUUCUGCCAAUGCAGGGUGGAUUUCUUGCGAUCUAGAUCAACGUUGCCGCAAACGUUGGGCCCUCUGACAGGAGUGGCAAGCGUGAACGCAAACAUGAAAAUCUCUGCCCGACGGGCCUUCUUUCAGGUGAAGUGCCCCCAUAUUGGCAAUGCUACUGUGGGUUUCUACAGCAGUCAGAAUCCCAUGCUGAUGCGGCUGCGUCUUGUGCAGGCUCGGCGAGGCCUGUUCGAAGGGAGGUUAUGGGAGGGACCUCGCUUCGCAUCGAGUAUCGCGGGAGCAGAGAAGGUGGCUGUUUUGGAGGUUUAGGUUUAUUGUGUUCUCCCCUUGGUCAAGUUUCUCUCGCUCUGCGAGGCCACAACCUGAAAUUAUUUUUGUUGAAGUUUUGAUUGGAGUUCACCGAUGUGUAGGCGCCCCUUAGUCGGGUGGAGCCAGACCAGUUCCUCAACGACCGGUAUGCAGCCAUGGAGGAGCGGCUUGCGGUAGGUUUUUCACUCAAUUGUUAUUGGUGUUUCUAUCGUUGCAUUUGCAUUUGCAACGGUCUCACGCUUCAAAACUUGUCUCCAGGUGGUCCGCAAGAGACUCAACCGCCCUCUCAACUUUGCAGAGAAGGUGCGCUCGUGCUGUUUCUGCUCCCUGCCAGAAUUCAGGACAUUUGAUAAUACAUUGAGGUAUUUUCAAAUAAUUAAUCCGCGCCAUGUGGCGCCUGAGAUCACGCUGCUAAGCACAGAAGGCAACCCUAGAGGCAGCAAGAUCGAGGGUCGAUUACCUCAAUGAGAAUUUCCUUGUGAAACUUGACAACCUUGAUCACAGGUCGUCUAUGGUCAUUUGGACGACCCUGAAGGCCAGGAGAUUGAGCGCGGGGUCAGCUACCUGCGUCUGAGGCCAGGUGGGUGGUAUGGCUGCUGUGCAUGGGAGUGCAGUCUCAUUAUGUGACGCCUCCAGUGCAAUAUUCUGAAGCAUGUUUGCAAUGAUGUGCAGAUCGGGUGGCGAUGCAAGACGCCACAGCGCAGAUGGCUGUGCUGCAGUUCAUCUCCUCCGGCCUGCCCACCACAGCCGUGCCCUCCACCAUUCACUGCGACCAUCUGAUCGAGGGAACUACUGCUCCUCAGGAAGACAGGUGCGCUAUUCACCAGACACCAUAUUGAAUCACCGCAAUCCUGCGCAGAACUGAAAUACACUGCUGGGGGUCGGAGUUGACGGGGCUGUCAACAUUGCACAGGGACAACUCGUUUGGUGGGCCAGCUGACCUAGCGCAUGCCAUCAAAACAAACAAGGAAGUGUACGACUUCCUGUCCUCUGCCGGAGCAAAGUACGGCAUCGGCUUCUGGAAGCCAGGGUCCGGAAUCAUCCAUCAGGUGAGAGGCUUACACUUGCAACAGACACACAAAUACCCGUCUGGCUCUGUCAUUGUGCAACCUUGAAGCAUUGUCAUGUGAGCCCAAAGCAGGGGAAUAAGUGUUGAUUGAGGUGUAACUGUGCAGAUUGUGCUGGAGAAUUACGCCUUCCCUGGUGGCAUGAUGAUUGGUACCGACUCGCACACGCCCAACGCCGGCGGCCUAGGCAUGUGCGCUGUGGGCGUGGGAGGAGCUGACGCCGUGGAUGUGAUGGCUGGCCUGCCCUGGGAGCUCAAGGCCCCCAAGGUGAGGCCCCCUUGCUUCACGCCAACUACAAUUAUGAGUUGCUGACCAGAACCUUGCGUGUGGCAAAAAGGAUGUGGAUUCUGAGUAUUGGGUGAAGAUUAGCAUGUUGGGGUGACAGGUUAUCGGAGUGAAGCUCACCGGCAAGCUGUCCAAGUGGAACUCCCCCAAGGACAUUAUUUGCAAGGUGGCGGGCAUCCUCACUGUCAAGGGUGGCACUGGUGCCAUUGUGGAGUACUUUGGAUCCGGUGUAGACAACAUCUCAUGCACAGGUGAGGCCCACAAUCAUCCUACCAGCACCUGCAGGACAAACAGCUGGCAUCAGGGGGUCCAAUCAGGCUGCUUGGAUUGGCGGUUGCGAUACAGUAAUGACUGCCUGAGCCGCCACAUGCAUGCAGGGCGAAUCAUUCAUCUCUUUGGCUUUCCGCUCAGUUCAUUACAUGUGAACCAUGCCAUACGCGCUUGUCAUGCCCACAAAGUGAUGAAGUUGUUCGUGUGCUCACACCAGGCAUGGGCACCAUCUGCAACAUGGGCGCUGAGAUCGGCGCAACCACCUCCAUGUUCCCCUACAACAAGCGCCAGUACGACUAUCUGGUCGCCACCGGCCGCGAGCCGGCCGCCAAGCUGGCCGACUCCUUCCGGGAGCACCUGCGCGCUGACGAGGGCGCCGAGUACGACCAGGUCAUUGAGCUCAACCUCAACGAGCUGGAACCCCAGGUGCCGCCCUUUCUUCUGCACACAGCCCUCGACUGCUGUAUUGCAACAUGUUGCAUGCGCCCUUGCAAGUAGGAGGCAUUAUUUCUGACUACAACAAGUUUCUGGCUGCACUGGGAAGUGGCCUUGUGUGGCCAAGCUGCAGAGCAAACACAGAGUGGCCAGAGGACUAAGGCAGACAGAACUUUGCUUUCCACUUGCAACUUGGCAGACUCUUAAGCAAUUGCUAUUUUGUGAGUGCGUGCCUUUAAUACAAGCAGUACUCGUUUCCAGACACAAAAAGGGAUAUAGUUUGGCAAAUUUUCUGAGAGGAUUUGGCGCCUGCACAGAUCAAUGGCCCGUUCACGCCCGAUCUGGCGCACACGCUGUCGGAGUUUGCGGAGGCGCUGAAGACCAACAAGUGGCCCACAGAGCUAAAGGCGGGCCUCAUCGGCUCCUGCACCAACUCCAGCUACGAGGACAUGCAGCGCGCCGCCAGCG